rnacentral:tRNA from 1 species
AGGAUUGUGGCUCAGUGGUAGAGCACUUGCCUAGCAUGCAUGAGGGACUGGGAUUGAUCCUCAGCACUA